CUCAAGUUCAGAGUCAAUUAUGGUGUCU
rnacentral:piRNA from 1 species